AGAGUUUGAUCCUGGCUCAGGAUGAACGCUGGCGGCGUGCUUAACACAUGCAAGUCGAACGAACCUUCGGGUUAGUGGCGGACGGGUGAGUAACGCGUGAGAAUCUGCCCUCAGGAGGGGGAUAACGGCUGGAAACGGCCGCUAAUACCCCAUAUGCCGAGAGGUGAAACGAGUUUUCGCCUGAGGAUGAGCUCGCGUCUGAUUAGCUAGUUGGUGGGGUAAGAGCCUACCAAGGCAUCGAUCAGUAGCUGGUCUGAGAGGAUGAUCAGCCACACUGGGACUGAGACACGGCCCAGACUCCUACGGGAGGCAGCAGUGGGGAAUUUUCCGCAAUGGGCGAAAGCCUGACGGAGCAACGCCGCGUGAGGGAUGAAGGCCUCUGGGCUGUAAACCUCUUUUAUCAAGGAAGAAGAUCUGACGGUACUUGAUGAAUAAGCCACGGCUAAUUCCGUGCCAGCAGCCGCGGUAAUACGGGAGUGGCAAGCGUUAUCCGGAAUUAUUGGGCGUAAAGCGUCCGCAGGCGGCCUGAUAAGUCUGUUGUCAAAGCGUGGAGCUCAACUCCAUUUCGGCAAUGGAAACUGUGAGGCUUGAGUGUGGUAGGGGCAGAGGGAAUUCCCGGUGUAGCGGUGAAAUGUGUAGAUAUCGGGAAGAACACCAGUGGCGAAGGCGCUCUGCUGGGCCAUAACUGACGCUCAUGGACGAAAGCCAGGGGAGCGAAAGGGAUUAGAUACCCCUGUAGUCCUGGCCGUAAACGAUGAACACUAGGUGUCGGGGGAAUCGACCCCCUCGGUGUCGUAGCCAACGCGUUAAGUGUUCCGCCUGGGGAGUACGCACGCAAGUGUGAAACUCAAAGGAAUUGACGGGGGCCCGCACAAGCGGUGGAGUAUGUGGUUUAAUUCGAUGCAACGCGAAGAACCUUACCAGGGUUUGACAUCCUGCGAAUCCCUUGGAAACGAGGGAGUGCCUUCGGGAGCGCAGAGACAGGUGGUGCAUGGCUGUCGUCAGCUCGUGUCGUGAGAUGUUGGGUUAAGUCCCGCAACGAGCGCAACCCACGUCUUUAGUUGCCAGCAUUGAGUUGGGCACUCUAGAGAGACCGCCGGUGAUAAACCGGAGGAAGGUGUGGAUGACGUCAAGUCAUCAUGCCCCUUACAUCCUGGGCUACACACGUACUACAAUGCUACGGACAAAGGGCAGCAAACUCGCGAGAGCUAGCAAAUCCCAUAAACCGUGGCUCAGUUCAGAUCGUAGGCUGCAACUCGCCUACGUGAAGGAGGAAUCGCUAGUAAUCGCAGGUCAGCAUACUGCGGUGAAUACGUUCCCGGGCCUUGUACACACCGCCCGUCACACCAUGGAAGUUGGCCACGCCCGAAGCCGUUACUCCAACCCUUGUGGAGGAGGACGUCGAAGGUGGGGCUGAUGACU
rnacentral:rRNA from 1 species